AUAAAACGUAUCAAUAGUUUUCUAUUCUAAAUAGAAAGAAAGUCAAAUUUGUCUAAAUACUAGACAUAAGGAAGCGGGGGAUAAAUGCGGGGAAGAAAAAAUUCUAGGAGGGAUUAUUUGUCUUCCUAGUCUUCGACACAAGAAAGGGGUGUAGAAAAAUACUUUUUUCUUGUGUCGAAACGAAAGAGUAAUGAUUCUUGAUCCUGUUUGUUAAAAAUUCCUAGUCUUGGUUUCAAUUUUUCCAGAUGUAUCAGAAACCCUACACCUACCC
rnacentral:lncRNA from 1 species